UCCCUGGCAGUCCAGUGGUUAGGACUCUGAGCUUCCACUUCAGGGAAUGCAGGUUCGAUCCCUAGUCAGAGAA
rnacentral:tRNA from 1 species